GGAGCUUCCUGCACAUAAAAGUCUGGAAUUUCAUAGCAAUGUGGGGGCAAAAGCUAUGAUCGCAUUUCCCCCUUUCUAAAUUAUAUACUGCUUAGUGUUAAUGUGAGCAGAGGGCUGGAUGGCGACGGGCUCGCAGCUUACAUGCUGUUCUGAAAACUCGGUUUAGUGGCAGCUAUAAAUGCUCAUCUGUAGCACCUCCCUUUUCCCUCCCAUUUGGAAGAAGGAGCAAGAGACUGUCUUCUAGGAUGAGAGAGAUGAGAGAGAUGGCAUUAAAACUUGACAUCAGAUGAACCCUUCAGCUCUCUCAACCUGCAUAAUUCUCUUUUGGGAAGGAGAGACUGGUCUCCAAGCACUUACUACACCUCCUCUGAACCAGAAACCAUAUCAGCACAUUCUGAGUUAACCUUAAUUGUAAAAGACUAGAAAAAAA
rnacentral:sRNA from 1 species